rnacentral:rRNA from 1 species
GAUGAACGCUGGCGGCGUGCCUAAUACAUGCAAGUCGAGCGAACGGACGAGAAGCUUGCUUUUCUGAUGUUAGCGGCGGACGGGUGAGUAACACGUGGAUAACCUACCUAUAAGACUGGGAUAACUUCGGGAAACCGGAGCUAAUACCGGAUAAUAUUUUGAACCGCAUGGUUCAAAAGUGAAAGACGGUCCUGCUGUCACUUAUAGAUGGAUCCGCGCUGCAUUAGCUAGUUGGUAAGGUAACGGCUUACCAAGGCAACGAUGCAUAGCCGACCUGAGAGGGUGAUCGGCCACACUGGAACUGAGACACGGUCCAGACUCCUACGGGAGGCAGCAGUAGGGAAUCUUCCGCAAUGGGCGAAAGCCUGACGGAGCAACGCCGCGUGAGUGAUGAAGGUCUUCGGAUCGUAAAACUCUGUUAUUAGGGAAGAACAUAUGUGUAAGUAACUGUGCACACCUUGACGGUACCUAAUCAGAAAGCCACGGCUAACUACGUG